rnacentral:rRNA from 1 species
UACAGGGGGGGCAAGCGUUGUUCGGAAUUAUUGGGCGUAAAGGGCUCGUAGGCGGUUUGUCGCGUCGGGAGUGAAAACCUCGGGCUUAACUCGGGGCUUGCUUUCGAUACGGGCAGACUAGAGGUAUGCAGGGGAGAACGGAAUUCCUGGUGUAGCGGUGAAAUGCGCAGAUAUCAGGAGGAACACCGGUGGCGAAGGCGGUUCUCUGGGCAUGAUCUGACGCUGAGGAGCGAAAGUGUGGGGAGCGAACAGG